GAUGAAGAACGUAGCGAAAUGCGAUAAGUAAUGUGAAUUGCAGAAUUCAGUGAAUCAUCGAAUCUUUGAACGCACAUUGCGCCCGCUAGUAUUCUGGCGGGCAUGCCUGUCCGAGCGUCAUUUCAACCCUCAAGCCCCCGGGCUUGGUGUUGGGGAUCGGCGAGCCUCCGCGCCCGCCGUCCCCUAAAUCUAGUGGCGGUCUCGCAGUAGCUUCCUCUGCGUAGUAGCACACCUCGCACUGGGAAACAGCGCGGCCACGCCGUUAAACCCCCAACUUCUGAACGUUUGACCUCGGAUCAGGUAGGAAUACCCGCUGAACUUAAGCAUAUCAAUAAGCGGAGGA
rnacentral:misc_RNA from 1 species